GCGAGGAUGCUGUAGCUAGUGUUAAUAUGGAAGCUGCCAUAUCGACUGACGAUGUUAUCAGAGCUGGAGGUUUCGGAGCCAGAGAUGAUAUAGGGAGCCUCCUUCCUGUUGCCCUUGAUUCGACAGACUUCGAAGCUUCCCUUCGAGAUGCACGAGACUACGAAGAACCUCAGGGAGAAAUAUCGAGGCCGGGUCUUGGUUGGGCUCAAUCUGUUGAGAAGAGGUAGGUCGUAUUCAUUUCUCUUUGAUGGCCAAGUGGUGUUAUCAUAGUUUCUGUUGACACCCUAAGCAAGUGCUGUACUGUCAUAUCCA
rnacentral:misc_RNA from 1 species